ensembl:lncRNA
AGUGCCCUGCAGUGCCCCACAGCUCUCCCUGUUCCCCUCAGCGCCGGGCGAUGCUGCGGCGGCGGUGUGGGUGGUGGGACGCGUCGGGCACAGCGGUGCCGUACGGAGCGGAGGACGGAGCGGUGCUGGAGGCGCUGUGGCGGCGCGGGGGGCGCCGGGCGCGGCGGUGCUGUGCGGCCGCGGCGUCACCGUGGACCUGCGGCGGAUGGAGCUGUGCCACCCUGAUGGCACCGCAAUGCCGCUCACACGCAGCGCCGUGACGCCCAGCGUGCGUCGCCUGCUCGGCCCGGAUUCGUUGGGCGCGGAGGAGGCGGUUCGGCUGCUGCCAUUGGCGGAGGGCUCCGAUGAGUUCGCCAACGCCGUGCGCCGCUUCUAUGGCAGCCUAUGGGAGCUGCGCGGGCACAUCCGAGUGCUGAGGGCGCAGCAGUUGAUCCACCCGCGCCUUUACGGGCAGUUCCGGCGGCGCUGCGCGGAGUUGGAGCGGAGGGGGGACGGCGCGUGGACGGAACAGCUGCUGUUCCACGGCACCACCGCCCCCCGCGGGCUCGCGAUCUGCCUGCACGGCUUCCGCGCCCCCCCCGGCUCUCCCGGCGUUCCUUUGGCGGUGUCGGCGGCUGUGGCGCUCCGACGGUUCCAUUCGCCGCCCUCUCCCGACGGCACUCAGUGCGUUUUGGUGGUCCGAGCGCUGUGCGGUCGGGAGAGACCCCCGAACCGCCGCGGGGAACCCCGCAACGCGCGUCGCCGCGCCGUCCGCUUCUGCUGCCCUACGGCCGCAUACCCGCUGUACGUGCUCAGCUGCGUGCGCGUGCCCGAGGAGCGCGACCGGCUGCGUGCGCGUGCCCGCUGAUGGACGGGAGGAGCCGCGCGCGGAUGGAAACCGUCGAGAGAGCCAUACUGUGCCAUACUGUGCCAUGGACUCACCAGGAGUGCCAUACUGUGCCAUGGACUCACCGGGAGAGCCAUACUGUGCCAUACUGUGCCAUGGACUCACCAACAGUGCCAUACUGUGCCAUGGACCCACCAGGAGUGCAUUGCUGUGCCAUACUGUGCCAUGGACACACCAGGAGUGCCAUACUGUGCCAUGGACUCACCAGGAGAGCCAUACUGUGCCAUGGACCCACCAGGAGUGCCAUACUGUGCCAUGGACUCACCGUGGUGGCGGUGCGGUGCCGCGUGCUGCCCAAGAAGGCCAUGUUUUGCCCCAUGCUGUGUGCUGUGUGGUUGGUGUGAGCGCGGCGUGUGCCGACGGUGGGGCGGUGCCGUGUGCCGUGAGCUCACCGUGGCUCUGCGGUGCUGUGCCAUGAGCUCACCGUGGCUCUGCGGUGCUGUGUGCCAUGAGCUCACCGUGGCUCUGCGGUGCUGUGCCAUGAGCUCACCGUGGCUCUGUGCUGUGUGCCAUGAGCUCACCGUGGCUCUGCGGUGCUGUGCCAUGAGCUCACCAUGGCUCUGCGGUGCUGUGCUGUCUCACCGUGGCUCUGUGCCGUGUGCCAUGAGCUCACCGUGGCUCUGCGGUGCUGUGCCAUGAGCUCAGUGUGGCUCUGCGGUGCUGUGCUGUGUGCCAUGAGCUCACCGUGGCUCUGUGCUGUGUGCCAUGAGCUCACCGUGGCUCUGCAGUGCUGUGCCAUGAGCUCACCGUGGCUCUUUGUUGCUGUGCCAUGAGCUCACCGUGGCUCUGCGGUGCUGUGCCAUGAGCUCACCGUGGCUCUGCGGUGCUGUGCUGUGUGCCAUGAGCUCACCGUGGCUCUGUACUGUGUGCCAUGAGCUCACCGUGGCUCUGCGGUGCUGUGCCAUGAGCUCACCGUGGCUCUGUGCUGUGUGCCAUGAGCUCACCGUGGCUCUGCGGUGCUGUGCCAUGAGCUCACCGUGGCUCUGUACUGUGUGCCAUGAGCUCACCGUGGCUCUGCGGUGCUGUGCCAUGAGCUCACCGUGGCUCUGCGGUGCUGUGCCGUGAGCUCACCGUGGCUCUGCGGUGCUGUGCCAUGAGCUCACCGUGGCUCUGCGGUGCUGUGCCAUGAGCUCACCGUGGCUCUGUGCUGUGUGCCAUGAGCUCACCGUGGCUCUGUGCUGUGUGCCAUGAGCUCACCGUGGCUCUGUGCCGUGUGCCAUGAGCUCACCGUGGCUCUGCGGUGCUGUGCCAUGAGCUCACCGUGGCUCUGUGGUGCUGUGCCAUGAGCUCACCGUGGCUCUGCGGUGCUGUGCCAUGAGCUCACCGUGGCUCUGCGGUGCUGUGCCGUGUGCCACACUGUGUGCCACUCUGUGUGCUGUGUGCCGUGGGUUUACCAUGAGCACAGUGCUGUGCCGUGUGCUGUGAUCACAGUGCCACCAGGCCCUAUCAGCUCCCAUCAAAUCCCACCAGAUCCCACCAGGCCCGAACAACUCCUAUCAGAUCCAACCAGAUCCCAUCAGGUGCCUCCAGGCCCUUUCAGUUCCCACCAGAUCCUAUCAGACCCCACCAGGCCCUAUCAGCUCCCAUCAGAUCCCACCAGAUCCCAUCAGCUCCCAUCAGAUCCCACCAGGCCCAGUCAGAUCCCACCAGGGAUCCCAUCAGGUGUCACCAGCCCCUAUCAACUCCCAUCAGAUCCCACCAGAUCCCAUUAGGUGCCACCAGGCUCUAUCAAUCAGCUCCCAUCAGAUCCCACCAGAUCCCACCAGGUGCCAUCAGAUCCCACUGGGUGCCACCAGGUCCCACCAGAUCCUAUCAGACCCCACCAGAUCCCACCAGAUCUCACCAGGCCCUAUCAGAAUCCACCAGAUCCCACCAGGCCCUAUCAACUCCCAUUAGAUCCCACCAGGUGCCACCAGGCCCUAUCAGAUCCCACCAGAUCCCACCAGGCCCCAUCAGAUCCCACCAGGUUCCACCAGGUGCCAUCAGAUCCCACUAGAUCCCACCAGGCCCUAUCAGAUCCCAGCAGAUCCCACCAGGCCCCACCAGAUCCCACCAGGUCCCAUCAGAUCCCACCAGGCCCUGUCAGAUCCCAUCAGGUGUCACCAGGUGCCAUCAGAUCCCAUCAGGUGUCACCAGGCCUUAUCAGAUCCCAUCAGGUGUCACCGGAUCCCAUCAUCAGAUCCCACCAGGCCCUAUCAGAUCCCACUGGAUCCCUUCAGAUCCCACCAGAUCCCAUUAGGUGCCACCAGGCCCUAUCAGCUCCCAUCAGAUCCCACCAGAUCCCAUCAGCUCCCAUCAGAUCCCACCAGGCCCAGUCAGAUCCCACCAGGGAUCCCAUCAGGUGUCACCAGCCCCUAUCAGCUCCCAUCAGAUCCCUCCAGAUCCCAUUAGGUGCCACCAGGCCCUAUCAGCUCCCAUCAGAUCCCACCAGAUCCCAUCAGCUCCCAUCAGAUCCCACCAGGCCCAGUCAGAUCCCACCAGGGAUCCCAUCAGGUGUCACCAGCCCCUAUCAACUCCCAUCAGAUCCCACCAGAUCCCAUUAGGUGCCACCAGGCUCUAUCAAUCAGCUCCCAUCAGAUCCCACCAGAUCCCACCAGGUGCCAUCAGAUCCCACUGGGUGCCACCAGGUCCCACCAGAUCCUAUCAGACCCCACCAGAUCCCACCAGAUCUCACCAGGCCCUAUCAGAUCCCACCCGAUCCCACCAGGCCCCAUCAGAUCCCACCAGGUUCCACCAGGUGCCAUCAGAUCCCUCUAGAUCCCACCAGGCCCUAUCAGAUCCCAGCAGAUCCCACCAGGCCCCACCAGAUCCCACCAGGCCCCACCAGAUCCCCCCAGGCCCUAUCAGAUCCCACCAGAUCCCAUCAGGUGCCAUCAGAUCCCAUCAGGUGUCACCGGAUCCCAUCAUCAGAUCCCACCAGGCCCUAUCAGAUCCCACUGGAUCCCUUCAGAUCCCACCAGAUCCCAUUAGGUGCCACCAGGCCCUAUCAGCUCCCAUCAGAUCCCACCAGACCCUAUCAGAUCCCAUCAGAUCCCACCAGGCCCUAUCAGAUUCCACCAGGCCCUAUCAGAUCCCACCGGAUCCCUUCAGAUCCCACCAGAUCCCAUUAGGUGCCACCAGGCCCUAUCAGAUCCCAUCAGAUCCCACCAGAUCCCACCAGGCCCUAUCAGAUCCCAUCAGAUCCCAUCAGCUCCCAUCAG